AAAUAAAAUGACUCUCGGCAACGGAUAUCUCGGCUCUUGCAUCGAUGAAGAACGUAGCGAAAUGCGAUACUUGGUGUGAAUUGCAGAAUCCCGUGAACCAUCGAGUCUUUGAACGCAAGUUGCGCCCGAAGCCAUUAGGCCGAGGGCACGCCUGCCUGGGUGUCACAC
rnacentral:rRNA from 1 species